rnacentral:snRNA from 8 species
UAUCUGAUACGUCCCCCAUCGGGGGACUACAUAUUAAAUGGAUUUUUCGAACAGGGAGUCCGAUAUGGGGCUUGCUCCGUCCGCUCCACGCAUCGACCCGGUAUUGCAGUACCUCCGGGAACGGUGCAACACUU